UACGUAGGGGCCGAGCGUUGUCCGGAGUUAUUGGGCGUAAAAGCGCGCGCAGGCGGCCUCGCGCGCCCGACGUGAAAGCCCCCGGCUUAACCCGGGGAGGGUCGUUGGGGACGCGGGCUUGAGGGCGGGAGAGGUCGGUGGAAUUCCCGGUGUAGUGGUGAAAUGCGUAGGAGAUCGGGAGGAACACCUGUGGCGAAGGCGGCCGACUGGGCCGACCCUGGACGCUGAGGCGCGAAGGCGUCGGGAUGCGUAAGGGGAGUCAAGAUGGA
rnacentral:rRNA from 1 species